GACGAACGCUGGCGGCGUGCCUGAUACAUGCAAGUGGAACGCAACUUUUCAUCCGUUUCUUCGGAAACAUCUGAGAAGUUGAGUCGCGAACGGGUGAGUAACGCGUAGGUAACCUGCCUGAUAGCGGGGGAUAACUAUUGGAAACGAUAGCUAAUACCGCAUAAGAGCUUUAGUGGCAUCAUUGGAGCUUAAAAGGAGCAACUGCUUCACUAUCAGAUGGACCUGCGUUGUAUUAGCUAGUUGGUGGGGUAAAGGCCUACCAAGGCAACGAUACAUAGCCGACCUGAGAGGGUGAUCGGCCACACUGGGACUGAGACACGGCCCAGACUCCUACGGGAGGCAGCAGUAGGGAAUCUUCGGCAAUGGGGGGAACCCUGACCGAGCAACGCCGCGUGAGUGAAGAAGGUUUUCGGAUCGUAAAGCUCUGUUGUAAGAGAAGAACGUGUGAGAGAGUGGAAAGUUCUCACAGUGACGGUAUCUUACCAGAAAGGGACGGCUAACUACGUGCCAGCAGCCGCGGUAAUACGUAGGUCCCGAGCGUUGUCCGGAUUUAUUGGGCGUAAAGCGAGCGCAGGCGGUUUCGUAAGUCUGAAGUAAAAGGCUGUGGCUUAACCAUAGUACGCUUUGGAAACUGGAGGACUUGAGUGCAGAAGGGGAGAGUGGAAUUCCAUGUGUAGCGGUGAAGUGCGUAGAUAUAUGGAGGAACACCGGUGGCGAAAGCGGCUCUCUGGUCUGUAACUGACGCUGAGGCUCGAAAGCGUGGGGAGCAAACA
rnacentral:rRNA from 1 species